UACAGAGGGUGCGAGCGUUAAUCGGAAUUACUGGGCGUAAAGCGUGCGUAGACGGUAGCGUAAGUCAGAUGUGAAAGCCCCGGGCUCAACCUGGGAAUUGCAUUUGAGACUGCUCUGCUCGGGUGCGGAAGAGGGAAGCGGAAUUUCCGGUGUAGCGGUGAAAUGCGUAGAUAUCGGAAGGAACGCCAGUGGCGAAAGCGGCUUCCUGGUCCGACACCGACGUUCAGGCACGAAAGCGUGGGGAGCAAACAGG
rnacentral:rRNA from 1 species